GUGCUCACUUUGGUAGUACAUAUACUAAAAUUGGAAGGAUACAGAGAAGAUUAGCACGGCCCCAGGGCAAGGAUGACAUGCAAAUUUGUAAAGCAUUCUACAUUAAA
ensembl:snRNA U6 U6 spliceosomal RNA